CAGUCGCCGCGGGAACACGAAGGGGGCAAGCGUUGCUCGGAAUGACUGGGCGUAAAGGGCGCGUAGGUGGUGUGGACAGUCAGAUGUGAAAUUCCUGGGCUCAACCUGGGGGCUGCAUUUGAUACGUCCAAACUAGAGUGUGGAAGAGGGUCGUGGAAUUCCCAGUGUAGAGGUGAAAUUCGUAGAUAUUGGGAAGAACACCGGUGGCGAAGGCGGCGACCUGGUCCAUUACUGACGCUGAGGCGCGAAAGCGUGGGGAGCAAACAGGAUUAGAUACCCCUGUAGUCCCUGUCUCUUAUAC
rnacentral:rRNA from 1 species